rnacentral:rRNA from 1 species
GAUGAACGCUGGCGGCGUGCCUAAUACAUGCAAGUCGAGCGAACGGACGAGAAGCUUGCUUCUCUGAUGUUAGCGGCGGACGGGUGAGUAACACGUGGAUAACCUACCUAUAAGACUGGGAUAACUUCGGGAAACCGGAGCUAAUACCGGAUAAUAUUUUGAACCGCAUGGUUCAAAAGUGAAAGACGGUCUUGCUGUCACUUAUAGAUGGAUCCGCGCUGCAUUAGCUAGUUGGUAAGGUAACGGCUUACCAAGGCAACGAUGCAUAGCCGACCUGAGAGGGUGAUCGGCCACACUGGAACUGAGACACGGUCCAGACUCCUACGGGAGGCAGCAGUAGGGAAUCUUCCGCAAAGGGCGAAAGCCUGACGGAGCAACGCCGCGUGAGUGAUGAAGGUCUUCGGAUCGUAAAACUCUGUUAUUAGGGUAGAACAUAUGUGUAAGUAACUGUGCACAUCUUGACGGUACCUAAUCAGAAAGCCACGGCUAACUACGUG